CAUCCCAAAAAUCCCUCAGGGAUGCUCAGCCAUCCCAAAAAUCCCCAGGGAUGGGACACAAGGGGGCUCAGCCAUCCCCAAAAAAAACAGGGAAGGGACAAGGGGGCUCAGUCAUCCCCCAAAAAAACAGGGAAGGGACAAGGGGGCUAAGCCAUCCCAAAAAUCCCCCAUGGGAGCUCAACUAUCCCAAAAAUCCCCAGGGACAGACACAGGGGGCUCAGCCAUCCCAAAAAAACCCAGGGACAGACACAGGGAGAUUCAACCAUCCCAAAAAUCCCCCAGGGGUGCUCAGUCAUCCCAAAAAUCCCCAGGAGGGGACACAAGGGGGCUCAGCCAUCCCAAAAAUCCCCAGGAAAGGGACAUAUGGAGGCUCAGCCAUCCCAAAAAUCCCCAGGGAUGCUCAGCCAUCCCAAAAAUCCCCAGGGAAUGGACAAGGGGGCACAACCAUCCCAAAAAAAACCCAGGAGAGGACACAAGGGGGCUCAGCCAUCCCAAAAAUCCCCAGGGAUGGAACAUGAAGGCACAACCAUCCCAAAAACUCCUAUGGGAGCUCAGCCAUCCCAAAAAUCCCCAGGGAAGGGACAGGGGGCUCAGCAAUCCCAAAAAAACCCAGGAAGGGACAGGGGGCUCAGCAAUCCCAAAAAAACCCAGGAAGGGACAGGGGGCUCAGCAAUCCCAAAAAAACCCAGGGAGAGACACAGGGAGAUUCAACCAUCCCAAAAAUCCCCCAGGGGUGCUCAGCCAUCCCAAAAAUCCAGUUGGAUGGAACAAGGGGGGCUCAGCCAUCCUAAAAAUCCCCAGGGAUGCUCAGCCAUCCCAAAAAAUCCCAUGGAUGCUCAGCCAUCCCAAAAACUCCUAUGAGAGCUCAGCCACCCCAAAAAUCCCCAGGGAAGGGACACAAGGGGGGCUCAGCCAUCCCAAAAAUCCCCAGGGAAGGGAGAGCAGGCUCAGCCAUCCCAAAAAUCCCCAGGGAUGGGACACAAGGGGGGCUCAGCCAUCCCAAAAAUCCCUCAGGGGAGCUCAGCCAUCCCAAAAAUCCCCAGGGAGAGACACAGGGAGACUCAGCCAUCCCAAAAACCCCCAUGAGAGCUCAGCCAUCCCAAAAAUCCCCAGGGAGAGACACAGGGAGACUCAGCCAUCCCAAAAACCCCCAUGAGGCUCAGCCAUCCCAAAAAUCCCCAGGGAAGGGAGAGUGGGCUCAGCCAUCCCAAAAAUCCCCAGGGAUGCUCAGCCAUCCCAAAAAUCCCCAGGAAAGGGACACAAGGGGCACAACCAUCCCAAAAAUCUCGCCCAGGAGAGGCUCCACCCCCGGAAUUCCCGGCAGG
rnacentral:lncRNA from 1 species